AAUAGAUGACGCCGUUGACUUUUUAUUAUACGUUUGACCAUUCGUCUUAUUCAAAAAAUUUACGUAAUUAUAAUUUAUUUUGUUGUGAGUUGUUUUAUCACCUAAAGUACUUUAAGCAUGAUUUAUAUCUAUACAUUUACAAAAAAAUGUUUUGAAUAAGACGAAUGAUCAAACAUAUGUUUAAAAGUCAACGGCGUCAUCUAUU
rfam:Oryza glaberrima chromosome 5 Oglab05_0169_5, whole genome shotgun sequence.